GCCGAUCGGGCUGAUCGGCGAGAUGGUGGGCUUGGCACCCGCCGGCAGCGGAUCGAGCUGCUGGAGGCGGUUCAGCACCUGCUGCUCGGCC
rnacentral:tRNA from 1 species